ensembl:lncRNA
CAGAGCUUGACAGGAUCUGCAGAGAAGAAUGGGAGAAACUCUCCAAAUACAGCCCUGCACCUUUUCCCUAGUCAGGAUCAAGUCUGAGCGCAGAUAAAGACCCUGCACUUCACAAUGCUUCACCCACAGCUGUUCCGAAAGGACUCACUACACCAGCUUCAGGCACCACAUGGAACACAUGCAGACGAUCCCACAUGUGAAGAAGCUGGAUGUGGAGCUCCUGGGCUGGUUGGCGUGGUCUGCGGUUGUGAGGCUGGUUGGACGUAUUGCCAAAUUCUCUAAAACGACAUUGGAGGAGGUUUAUGGUAGAGAAAUUAACAUUAAAUUCUCUGGCAACAGCUCUGGUGGACUUUUCUGUGGUCAGUAUUGCCAAGUGCACAUCUGUAGCAUUAUGUGGUGUGACAAAACUGCACAUUUUUAGAGAGGCC